rnacentral:rRNA from 1 species
CGGUGAAUACGUUCCCGGACCUUGUACACACCGCUCGUCAAGCCAUGGAAGCUGGGUGUACCUAAAGUCGAUAACCGUAAGGAGUCGCCUAGGGUAAAACUAGUAACUGGGCU